rnacentral:snoRNA from 1 species
GCUGCAAAGGAAGGGGAAAGAAGAUGAACUUUAAGACAGAAAGAUGAAUAUUAAAGACAGGUCGUGUGCUCCACAAGGAGCAGGUUUUGCACUAACACCAUAAGAGUCUGGCUUGAUGAAUGGGGAUUGACAGUAGUUUAAAUGCCUGAGAG